rnacentral:rRNA from 1 species
AGUGAACGCUGGCGGUAGGCCUAACACAUGCAAGUCGAACGGCAGCACCGUAAGAGCUUGCUCUUACGGGUGGCGAGUGGCGGACGGGUGAGGAAUACAUCGGAAUCUACUUUUUCGUGGGGGAUAACGUAGGGAAACUUACGCUAAUACCGCAUACGACCUACGGGUGAAAGCAGGGGAUCUUCGGACCUUGCGCGAUUGAAUGAGCCGAUGUCGGAUUAGCUAGUUGGCGGGGUAAAGGCCCACCAAGGCGACGAUCCGUAGCUGGUCUGAGAGGAUGAUCAGCCACACUGGAACUGAGACACGGUCCAGACUCCUACGGGAGGCAGCAGUGGGGAAUAUUGGACAAGGGGCGCAAGCCUGAUCCAGCCAUACCGCGUGGGUGAAGAAGGCCUUCGGGUUGUAAAGCCCUUUUGUUGGGAAAGAAAAGCAGCAGGUUAAUACCCCGCUGUUCUGACGGUACCCAAAGAAUAAGCACCGGCUAACUUCGUG